AUUGAACGCUGGCGGCAUGCUUUACACAUGCAAGUCGAACGGCAGCGGGGUAGUGCUUGCACUACUGUCCGGCGAGUGGCGAACGGGUGAGUAAUAUAUCGGAACGUACCGAGUAAUGGGGGAUAACCAAUCGAAAGAUUGGCUAAUACCGCAUACGUCCUACGGGAGAAAGCGGGGGAUCGCAAGACCUCGCGUUAUUCGAGCGGCCGAUAACUGAUUAGCUAGUUGGUGGGGUAAAGGCCUACCAAGGCGACGAUCAGUAGCGGGUCUGAGAGGACGAUCCGCCACACUGGGACUGAGACACGGCCCAGACUCCUACGGGAGGCAGCAGUGGGGAAUUUUGGACAAUGGGGGCAACCCUGAUCCAGCCAUGCCGCGUGUAUGAAGAAGGCCUUCGGGUUGUAAAGUACUUUUGUUAGGGAAGAAAAGGGAAGUGCUAAUACCACUUUUUGCUGACGGUACCUAAAGAAUAAGCACCGGCUAACUACGUGCCAGCAGCCGCGGUAAUACGUAGGGUGCGAGCGUUAAUCGGAAUUACUGGGCGUAAAGCGAGCGCAGACGGUUAUUUAAGCAGGAUGUGAAAUCCCCGGGCUUAACCUGGGAACUGCGUUCUGAACUGGAUAGCUAGAGUGUGUCAGAGGGGGGUAGAAUUCCACGUGUAGCAGUGAAAUGCGUAGAGAUGUGGAGGAAUACCGAUGGCGAAGGCAGCCCCCUGGGAUAACACUGACAUUCAUGCUCGAAAGCGUGGGUAGCAAACAGG
rnacentral:rRNA from 1 species